rnacentral:rRNA from 1 species
GACGGAGGAGGCAAGCGUUAUCCGGAAUUAUUGGGCGUAAAGGGUACGUAGGCGGCUGGUCAAGUCUGGGGUCAAAGGCCACAGCUCAACUGUGGGAAGGCCCUGGAAACUGACCGGCUAGAGUGAGGUAGGGGUUGCGGGAAUUCCCGGUGUAGCGGUGAAAUGCGUAGAGAUCGGGAAGAACACCUGAGGCGGAAGCGCGCAACUGGGCCUCAACUGACGCUGAGGCGCGAAAGCUAGGGGAGCAAACGGG